UACAGAGGGUGCAAGCGUUAUUCGGAAUUACUGGGCGUAAAGCGUGCGUAGACGGUUAUGUAAGUCAGGUGUGAAAGCCCCGGGCUCAACCUGGGAAUGGCAUUUGAGACUGCAUAGCUAGGGUGCGGAAGAGGGAAGCGGAAUUUCCGGUGUAGCGGUGAAAUGCGUAGAUAUCGGAAGGAACAUCAGUGGCGAAAGCGGCUUCCUGGUCCAGCACCGACGUUCAGGCACGAAAGCGUGGGGAGCAAACAGG
rnacentral:rRNA from 1 species